rnacentral:rRNA from 1 species
GACAGAGGCCCCAAGCGUUAGGCGGAAUCACUGGGCUUAAAGCGUGUGUAGGCGGAUCGUUAAGUGUCUUGUGAAAUCCCACGGCUCACCCGUGGAACUGCUGGGCAUACUGGCGAUCUUGGGCCAACUAGGGGCAGUCGGAACAAGCGGUGGAGCGGUGAAAUGCGUAGAGAUGUGGAGGAAUACCGAUGGCGAAGGCAGCCCCCUGGGAUAACACUGACGCUCAUGCACGAAAGCGUGGGGAGCAAACAGG